CAGCCGCCACGGGAAUACGUAGGGUGCAAGCGUUAAUCGGAAUUACUGGGCGUAAAGCGUGCGCAGGCGGUUUGUUAAGACAGAUGUGAAAUCCCCGGGCUCAACCUGGGAACUGCAUUUGUGACUGGCAAGCUAGAGUGUGGCAGAGGGGGGUGGAAUUCCGCGUGUAGCAGUGAAAUGCGUAGAUAUGCGGAGGAACACCGAUGGCGAAGGCAGCCCCCUGGGCCAACACUGACGCUCAUGCACGAAAGCGUGGGGAGCAAACAGGAUUAGAUACCCCGGUAGUCCCUGUCUCUUAUAC
rnacentral:rRNA from 1 species